AAAAACCCAACAAAGUUUAUAAAAUAAAGUUUAAAAUAUUUUUGUUCAAAACUGUUGAUAGUGCUCUGAAUACCGAGUCCAAGCCUUAACCUCACAAGCUAUUAGGAAAAAUGGAAAAAUUGAAUGAGCUAUAAGGCUCAGUAUGUGUAAAACAUGAUCCAAAAGUUACGACCAAAUUCUGAAGGUUACAUUAGCCACCAAAAUAGACUAAAACAAAACGCCGUUCAAAAUCACCUAAAAUUUUUCAAAAACCUCAUUGCUUGAACUUAACAAGAUUCGGUAACAAACUCUACUUAGGUUUUCAAAUGGUUGUCCAUUAAACGAUGAAAUAAUGUUAAAACCUUAUCAAAAUGUCUUUAUUCGGUUUGCAAUUACUUCUUUUACCAACUGUUAAUCCAAAAUUUCGAAAUCAAUGUAGUAGCGGAAAAUCUAUUAUUUACUUCUAAAUAGAAAUCAUAAAUUAUCUCUUAAAAACUAAGCGAUUAGUUAGCCAAAUUUUUAUGUACGGAAUCACAAUUAUAGUUCAAAACAAAAAAUCCAUAAUUUUUCAAAAAGUCCAAAAUCAAAGAUCAUUCCACAGUUUACUUACAAAUCUAUUGAAAAUAAUUUAUUGAAUUUAAGAAAAACUUAUAAAACCAAACCAAGAAAUUAUUGUAUCUCUCGAGACCUCCGAUUCACUGAGUCCAACAUCUAAGCUCGUGGAUUACCUGAAAGGGAAAAAUAAAGGAAUGAACUACGAAAGCUCAGUGUGAGUAAAACAAAUGCAAAAAGGCAGUAACAUAAUAAUACCUCGAUUGCAAAGUUAACUAACCAAACAAACUUACAUUAGCAAAAUUCGAAUCAUAAACAAAAAUCGCAUAAGAAUAAAGCAUAAUAUCACUAAUACACAUAACAAUUAUGCAUAACGAAAUCUGACGAGGAAUGAUACAAAAUCCCACCUAGCCAACCACUACACACCAUAUCCACAAAUCUCACAUACAUAUCAAUAAGGGUAUACUAGACCCUUUCUAACAUCUACACACCAAUAUUUGAGUUAUGGUGGAUCCAUCCAACCGAACACACCUCAAUGUGGUCGUAUGCCACUUUUAUUAUUGCGAAUAAACCACUAAAAUAUAAUAAUGCAGUAAAACUGCUAAUACGAACUUCCUUCUCUUCGAAAAAAAAUCUCAAUCCCAAAUGCAGAUGUAAACCAUAUCAAAAUGCACACAGAUUAUAGAAUUGACAUAGUCGUAUUUAGUUUCCAUAUUAAAUAACCAUAUUUGCAAACCAGUUUAGUUUAACAGAAACAGAACCGGACUUACUCAUAAAGUUUUCAAAUUAGAGAAAAAAUAGUAAACAAUUUCCAUACAUCACAUCCAAACAUUUUUGUAUACUAGGUUUAGCAUAUUGCAUUAUAAUAAACUUGAACGAACGUCAUGUAAAUAUAGCUUAGAGGUUCAUGAAGUAAAUAAGAAUGAUUUUGCAACUAUUUUAAGGAUAUUAGAAUUUGAUUCAAAGUAGCAUAAUUACAUAAGCAUAUAUUUCCUUUCAAACAAUAAGAAAUGAACUGCUUCUUUUCCACCAAAAAUAGUUAACUAAAUUAAAAUGGUGAAAAUUCAAAAGGCACAAAGAACCCUUAAAGCAACACAAGAUAUACAAAUCUAAGCAAAUUAAAUAAUUGAUGUCUUAUCCAUAUUUUUUUGAAUAUUUGCAAUGUAUCCCAUAAUUAUCAAUCUUUUUUUAUAAUUAUUAAUUCCAGAUGGCACAAGUAAAUUAUGCAUAACUUUGUCACUAAAAAUUUAAAAUACAUCUUUAUGUGUUGACAAAAUUCUAAUUACUGCAGCUAUACAUAUUUUCAAACUAUUUUCAGGUUUCUACACUAGAUCAAGCAAUAAAAUAAAUAACACAUAUUUCACUAUAAAAAAAAAGAGAAAACAAAACCAACAUUAAAUCGACCCCCUAAUUGUAGUAGUUUCAGAAACACACCUUAGAAAGCGAUUCCAAGCACCCACGAACGAUCGAUUCACCUUAACCUUACUAACCUGAAACUAAAUUUUCUAAUUAUACUUAACCUAUAAGAAUUCCAAUUUAAACCAUGGAUAAAGAAAUCAAGAACCAAUGUAAUACCCAACAAACAACAUUUACCCGAUUCGACACUUAAAUGAAAAUCUAGAGAACAACCAAACCCUACUGAGCGAAAAUUAAUAAUAAUGAGGACCCAAAAAGGAAGAAAAGAAAAUGAAAAUCAAAAGAGAAAGAAAGAAAAAUCAAAGUUUGAAACCUUGAAAAAGAAGGGGAGAAACUAACGUGAGAGAGUGAGGGAAAAAUAUGUGAGAGUAAAUUUGGGGUUUUGUUAUUAUUAUUUUUAAAACAAUAAAUUAAAUAAAUAAAAUUUAAAUAAAAUCAGGCAUAAUAAAAUCUAAGAAACUUUCAACUUAUUAGAAUUUCUAUUAAGCUCACACAAAGAUUUGAACCCGAGACCUAAGGAAAAACUUACACUUAACCACUGAACCAUAAGGCUCAACAUUGCCCCUAAAAUGUAAACAAAAACAUAAAAGUCUACACGACACCACUAACUCACCUACGAACCUUAAUCCUUCUAACCCCAUUUUCAGAUGUUACAGUAUGGUCUUAACAUAUAGGUAGUAAAACAUAUAAAGUAGUAGAUAAUGGCAUACAAGUAAGAGGUGCAUGUACAAAUCAGUAUCACAAUAUUCAUAGAAUUCACCUAACAGUUGCCAUGCUCAUGAAUGAGAGCAGCCCACUGCCCAAUCUAGCCCUACACACCAUAAUAAGAGUUCCUCAAAACUUGUCCAACCCUACACUCCGUAAUAGUAAGAGCAUAAGCUCAUGUGGGCAUACCACCAGUAGAUGUACGGAUGGACCGCCAUUAGUUAUGCGGAUGAACUGACACUAGAUUGAUCGGUGAACCAAUCUGGCAUUAUAUACCUGAACUUUUUCCUUCAAUAACUCAACCCUAGGCAACAAUACCAUGCCAUUAAUGAUUAGUGACAGUAUAACAUACAGUAACAAUAUCAACAUGUUAUCAACAUAAAAAUAGUGACAUAUUAACUUAUAUGCAGUAAUAGUAGAGCAUGUGUCUAUCGUAUAUGCAGUAACAUCACAAAAACAACAUCACAAUUAGCCAACAACAAUGUUUCAUAAAUUGACAGCAUAAUAAUAUCGUACUUACAACACACGAUUAUGUUUUCAAUCAACUUACACUUACGGUUUUUCGGCAACUUAACCACAGAUGUUACCCUUUUUAGAUCUGAUAAUUCUCAUUGUAAUUAGAUUCACAGAUCGAUUUUAUUCACUAUUCAUUAAAAAAAACUGAAUAAGCAUUGUAACGCCCACACAAUCGACUGAAGCACACACACACAUACACACACACUACAUAAUUAUGGCCCACACCUUCACCCUACACGCCCGUACGACCCUUUACUAUUUCGGCACACUCUUUCGGAUCAAUUUUGAUAAGAUUCUCCUAGAUCUGGUGCUUCAAACUGCAAACACACAAAACAUAUAUAAUAUCAUAUUUGACAAGAAAGAUCUCGGAAGAUCCAAUAGAAAUUGGUUAAACAAAAUGGAAGAGUGUAAUUUGUAACCCCGUUAUGAAUUCAAAAUCAAAGUGUAACCAAUACCAUGGGUUUUGCUUACCGAUCUACAGCGAAUAUAUAUAGAUCUAAGGUCGACAAUCUCAACGUCAAUGGUGAUUCAAAUGAAUAGAGGUAAAUCGACAAGGAGAGUGAAAUCAGUGACUCAAGGAUGAUGUAAGAUGCAACAGUGACAGGGGAAUUAAUUCGAACGUUGAAGAUUUGGCAAGAAAGAUGAAAAAUAUUAUGGUCCAAAGAUGGUGGAAGGUGUGGCGGCUAUGAAGAAAAGAGAGGAAGAGGAAGAAGAAAAAAAGAAGAAGAGAAGAUAGGAGAAAGGAGAGACGGUGCAAGGGAGAGGAGAAGAGAGGAAAAGUGGAGGCGGCUAGGGAAAAUGAAAAUGAAAAAGUGAGGGGGAGGGGGAGGGGUGUUCAAACAAAAAUACCUUUAAAUACCUAGGGUUUCAGCGUAUUAGGGUUUCCUUCACUAGAAAAUAUGAAAGUGUUGAUACUUUUUAGAAG
rnacentral:lncRNA from 1 species